rnacentral:rRNA from 1 species
GUAACAAGGUCUCCGUUGGUGAACCAGCGGAGGGAUCAUUACUGAGUUUACGCUCUACAACCCUUUGUGAACAUACCUAUAACUGUUGCUUCGGCGGGCAGGGUCUCCGUGACCCUCCCGGCCUCCCGCCCCCGGGCGGGUCGGCGCCCGCCGGAGGAUAACCAAACUCUGAUUUAACGACGUUUCUUCUGAGUGGUACAAGCAAAUAAUCAAAACUUUUAACAACGGAUCUCUUGGUUCUGGCAUCGAUGAAGAACGCAGCGAAAUGCGAUAAGUAAUGUGAAUUGCAGAAUUCAGUGAAUCAUCGAAUCUUUGAACGCACAUUGCGCCCGCCAGCAUUCUGGCGGGCAUGCCUGUUCGAGCGUCAUUUCAACCCUCAAGCUCUGCUUGGUGUUGGGGCCCUACGGCUGACGUAGGCCCUCAAAGGUAGUGGCGGACCCUCCCGGAGCCUCCUUUGCGUAGUAACUUUACGUCUCGCACUGGGAUCCGGAGGGACUCUUGCCGUAAAA